UUAAAAAUCAUUUUUCAUGGC
rnacentral:piRNA from 1 species